rnacentral:tRNA from 1 species
UCCCUGGUGGCUUAGACGGUAAAGAAUCCACCUGCAAUGUGGGAGACCUGGGUUCGAUUCCUGGGUUUGGGAA